rnacentral:rRNA from 1 species
UACGUAGGGGGCAAGCGUUAUCCGGAUUUACUGGGUGUAAAGGGAGCGUAGACGGCAUAGCGAGUCUGAAGUGAAAGCCCGUGGCUCAACCGCGGAACUGCUUUGGAAACUGUUAAGCUGGAGUACUGGAGAGGCAGGCGGAAUUCCUGGUGUAGCGGUGAAAUGCGUAGAUAUCAGGAGGAACACCGGCGGCGAAGGCGGCCUGCUGGACCGCGACUGACGUUGAGGCUCGAAAGCGUGGGGAGCGAACAGG